GGCCACCAAUAAGCUAUGCCACCUCCUUACUAGACUGGAUUUGUGAUGCUCUGAGAUUUAUUGUGUUCCCUUGGCCUGGGGAUAAAGCGAUCAUUUGUUUUUAUAAUGCUAUGGAAGAUGACAGAGGUGAAGAUGUUUUCUCAUACUUCUUUUGGUUUUUAAGGCAUUUUUUGUGACAAAAGUUGGGCGGUCCUCUGUUUUUUCAUUUUGCUUGGCUCUUCAAGUCAUCUCCAGCAAU
rnacentral:misc_RNA from 1 species